rnacentral:rRNA from 1 species
CAGUCGCCGCGGUAAUCCGUAGGGUGCAAGCGUUAAUCGGAAUUACUGGGCGUAAAGCGUGCGCAGGCGGUUAUAUAAGACAGAUGUGAAAUCCCCGGGCUCAACCUGGGACCUGCAUUUGUGACUGUAUAGCUAGAGUACGGUAGAGGGGGAUGGAAUUCCGCGUGUAGCAGUGAAAUGCGUAGAUAUGCGGAGGAACACCGAUGGCGAAGGCAAUCCCCUGGACCUGUACUGACGCUCAUGCACGAAAGCGUGGGGAACAAACAGGAUUAGAUACCCCCGUAGUCCCUGUCUCUUAUAC